rnacentral:pre_miRNA from 11 species
GUGACUAUGCUCCCUUCGAUGACGGGUAUUCUUGGGUAUAUAAUACAGAUAGCGUUGUUAUUGCUUGAGAAUACGCGUAGUUGAGGGGAAGUUUCUUCAAC